rnacentral:rRNA from 1 species
GUCCACCUCCCAUCCGUGUCUAUCUGUACCCUGUUGCUUCGGCGUGGCUACGGCCCGCCGAAGACUAACAUUUGAACACUGUCUGAAGUUUGCAGUCUGAGUUUUUAGUUAAACAAUAAUUAAAACUUUCAACAACGGAUCUCUUGGUUCCGGCAUCGAUGAAGAACGCAGCGAAAUGCGAUAAUUAAUGUGAAUUGCAGAAUUCAGUGAAUCAUCGAGUCUUUGAACGCACAUUGCGCCCCCUGGUAUUCCGGGGGGCAUGCCUGUCCGAGCGUCAUUGCUGCCCUCAAGCACGGCUUGUGUGUUGGGCUUCCGUCCCUGGUAACGGGGACGGGCCCAAAAGGCAGUGGCGGCACCAUGUCUGGUCCUCGAGCGUAUGGGGCUUUGUCACCCGCUCCCGUAGGUCCAGCUGGCAGCUAGCCUCGCAACCAAUCUUUUUAACCAGGUUGACCUCGGAUCAGGUAGGGAUACCCGCUGAACUUAAGCAUAUCAAUAAGCCGGAGG